CAAACUAAAUCAGAGACCCACUUUUCUUCAUCUUCAACGCGUCACCUUCAUACUCCCUCACACUUCAACCUCCGUCCCAAGCCACGAUCUUCAUCAUCACCGCGCUAUAACCCACAAACUCCUUCUUCAAUCCGCCUUCCUUCCAUCUCCCAGCUCCCCAUCGAACUCGCCCUCCGAAACACACAAAACAGCCGGACCACCACCAGCUAUUGCCAACAUCCCUCUGCCUCACAACCUUCACACUCUCCGCUCACACCACCAUCUUCACAGCUCAACUCACAGCACCCUUUCCAGCCGCGGAACCACCCUUCAACAACAACCAACAUCCGGCCACUGUGACCAACACACAACCAACUUACCUUCCGCGAACUGCUCUACACCAGCCAACCACGUCAACCAUCCGCUAGUUACUACAUGCUCUUCACUGUUCCGUGAACCAACAACCGUUCAUCCACCAUCCCACUGA